UCCAUCUGGGCGGCACAUACAAAACAAUUUGAAGGAUAAAGUGGCAAAUGGAACGGCCAAAAAUUGUGCCAGUAUCUUCCCAAAAGUCAACUUUGAAGGGAGUAUAUGAAAGAGAUGGUUGCCAGACGACUCCUCUCCAGUGGAGGAGCCCAUUUACUCCAGAUGCCGUGACACGCUGGGUAAGUCACUCCCUGCAAACAGAAACAUCAUCGUGCUCAAUUUUCAGUGACGCCGUCAGUAAAGUAUUUUUGGAAAUUCCUGUCAAGUGAAAAUAAAUGUUGACUAAAUUUGACACAGCACAAAGAAGAGUUUGCUUAACAACCCUGCAAAAUGUAUGAGUAUAAAUCAAGCUGUCCUGUUCGGCUGCUCGAUCAAGCGGAAUGGAGAUUCUGUAUCCC